rnacentral:rRNA from 1 species
AUUGAACGCUGGCGGCAUGCUUUACACAUGCAAGUCGAACGGCAGCGCGGGCUUCGGCCUGGCGGCGAGUGGCGAACGGGUGAGUAAUGCAUCGGAACGUGCCCAGUAGUGGGGGAUAGCCCGGCGAAAGCCGGAUUAAUACCGCAUACGACCUGAGGGUGAAAGCGGGGGACCGAAAGGCCUCGCGCUAUUGGAGCGGCCGAUGUCGGAUUAGCUAGUUGGUGGGGUAAAGGCUUACCAAGGCGACGAUCCGUAGCUGGUCUGAGAGGACGACCAGCCACACUGGGACUGAGACACGGCCCAGACUCCUACGGGAGGCAGCAGUGGGGAAUUUUGGACAAUGGGGGCAACCCUGAUCCAGCCAUGCCGCGUGCGGGAAGAAGGCCUUCGGGUUGUAAACCGCUUUUGUUCGGGAAGAAAUCCUCUGGGCUAAUACCCCGGGGGGGAUGACGGUACCGGAAGAAUAAGCACCGGCUAACUACGUG